ACGAGGCCAGCGGGCAUCUGCAUAUAAAAUGCUGGAGAACAAUUAACCAACCAUAUGAGGCAGCCAAGGCCGAGCCUGUCCGGCGCCUGGCCACUUCGCUCCACUUGAUCUUAUCAUUAAUAUCUGUGCCGGUAAGAUCCAUUCAGAGUAACAUGGUGACCAGCGUCAGAUGAACACGUCCAGUGUAAAGUGCGUCGAGACCGAGUUAACAUGGGACUGUAGUUUGCAGCUCUAAUUUGGUGAUAUAAAAGCUGAGGGAAGUUCCGUGGUGGUGUGGAACGCACUGACUGAUGGUGAAAAGAAAAGAUACGAAGAACACAGUGCAACGUGACGACUGAAAACCAACGAUCUCACUUCAGGACGAAGGUUCCGCCCCUGCGUGAAGGAACACGAGCGGCGGUGGGCGGUGUGUGGGGGCGGCGGUGCUCCCAGGGUGCGAGCCAUGAGUGCCAGGUUGCUCUCUGCUCCGCCUCGCCCAUGUUUCCUAUUUCUGCUGUUGUUGUGCCUGUUGCUGCCGACUCUCUGCGUCUCGACUGCCACGAUCGCAACGGUGGUGGCGCAGGGCAACACGGUGGUGUUCCAGCACCGGGUGGAGGCGCUGCUGGACGAGAGGCAAGUGUACACGAGAGUAGAGGUUGUGGAAGUUUCGAGGACAAACAGCGACACUCUCCUGGUCCUCGCUUCCUACGAUGACCGCGACGACUUGGCAACGAUGGUGAGGCUCCCCAGCCUGGCGUCUGAUGGGACAGAAGCAAGGGCCGUGGCGGUGACAACUGUGGGUGGCCGCGUCACCUCGCUACUGCACCACGCCGAGGAGACGCCUGCCUCACUCAACUACAAGAGGGCCCUGGUCUCCCUCCUCACCCCCGCCCUCCACUCCCACCGCCUUGUCUACCACACUCAGAGCGGAGUGCUGGGAACGUGCGAGGUGCGGUACGAGCACGAGGAGUCACGCACGGUCACCUGGCUGGACAUGACGCGCUGUUCCCACUUCACCUACGAGCAGGUCCUCAGUGCCCACAACCUGCCGCUCCUCCACCUGGCUGUGGAGCUCGAGGGCAGCAGCUCCACGUGUGACUACAGCUGGCGAGGCGCGGACAGGGACCUGCUGGAGGGCGUCCGCUGCACCGAGACUCUGCUGGUGGCGCCGCGCUACACACCCACCUCACAGCUCCUGAACAUCACCCUCACUUCCUCCCUCACCCCACUCAACGCCUCUCUCCUUGAGCCGGAAGUGUUCGAUUACAUGCAAGGAGCCACCGAGACCACGGAUCUGACCUUCCAGCUUGAGCCGCAGAAAGAAGCGCAGGGCAAUGUACUCCAGCUGAUGGAGGAAGUGUGUUUCAGUGAGGGUGAGGAGCGUCUCACUGCCGAACUCCUGCAGAGGUUGUCAUACUUGUCCUAUGUCUUGGCGCGUUCCACCUCAGAACUGCCUGACCUCCCCGCCGUCUGCCCCGUCAACGUCAGGCGCGGCGUGGCGCUGGCAAUGGCUGUGGUUGGAGGACCGCGAACUCUGCACUUUUUCGUGAAGCAGCUGGCGGAACUCUCGCGAGCUUCCAGGAAUUUUAAUUUUUCUGACGACGAGUACUUCUUCACGCUGGCCCUGCGCAACCUGGUGAACCCCGAGCACCACUCCAGUGAAGCCCUGCCCAGGGACUUCUUCCUCCGCAGAGAGAACCAAAUCGUGUAUGACGAGCUCGUGGACUAUCUGCUGACGCAGACGCCACCUGCUGUGGCAGGUGUGGCUGUGCUACUGGAAGGCCUUUCCAAGGUGGCGCCGCAGCUGUUCCAGCGUCUGCUGCAAAAGAGUGGACCAUUUUUGUUGCCCAGAGGCGCCUGUGAACGUGGUGACUAUGCUGAGGCGGUGCGGUUGCUGCGGAGUGUGAGCGGCCUCAGCACGCGGCCCCAGGACUACGUGACCUCCCUUGGACCGUGCUUCGCCACCGACAACGUGGACGUGAUCGUCGCCGCCAUGGACACACUCUCCACCGUCGACUGUGACAUGCAGGGCGUGACUGAGCUGCAGAAGGUGGGCCUCGAUAGUCCCUCUGACUCUGAAAUUCGCAUCGCAGCUUACCGCGGCCUGGUGCACUGCCUCCCCUCUCAGCCUGACCUCAUCCAGACGGUGGCUAAGGCCCUCGACUCUUCGCACGACGACUUUUCCACACAAGUGGCUUCCUAUGUGUGGAGUCACAUUCAGUCGGUGAUCUCAUCCGACGACCCAAGCCUGCUGAGUCUGAAGGAGGUCCUGAGCGCCUCGGACCUGGUCACCGGCGUACCUGACCCGGUAUGGUAUGACCCCAGACGACAUUCCCGCCACCUGGCCCACACCGUGCACCUGGACGCCCGCACCUCCGUGACAGUGACGGGCGACUUGGCGUGGGGCAGGUACUCGCCAGCACCGAGGGCAAUAUACCUCACUGUCGCUCUUCACCAUGAGGGAGCAACGCAUCAGUUUGCCCAGGUGAUGUUGCGCGUGACUGGUGUGGAGGCCAUGGUGCUGAGCGUCCCUUGGGUGGAGGAAAUGCUUCACGCCGCCGGAUCUGCCGCCUCGCAAUUGUGGUCCAUCGUGUCACGCAUGGCGGGCAGCAAAUCAAGGGACAAGAGGGAUGUAACUCAUAACCAGAUCACUGAGUUCUUACAGCAGGUGAUAACAAGAAUACCGGCGGCAUACAGGAUUAAAGUUUCCACCGUUGAGUUGUACCUCCGCCUCCUGGACACUCACGCGCUCUACCUCCACCUCGAAGACCUUCGCUAUUCCUCUCCGCUGGAAGCUCUGGCCACAAAGCUUCAGGCUCCGCUCAGGGCUGUGCUUGUGGCUCUGGCGCCGCUGCUGGACAACACGCUGACCCUGGCUACCUCCUCAGGAGUGCCCGUGGCCCUCGGGGUGCACGGGAUGGCUGGCGUCAACGCCCGUUGCGAUCACAUCGCCCCGGUGGGGGGAGGAGUGUUUAACCUGGUGGCCAGUGGCGGCAUGGUGCUGUGGGGCCGCGCAAACGUGGGCGGCGGGAGGGAGGCACCCCUUGUGAGCCACCUCCUUUGGACCCUCGAUUUCCCCAUCUCCGCCAGCUACCAGUAUGAGGGCGAAGGAUUGCAUGCCCACGUCCGGCUGCCGCGGAACUGGCCAGGCCACGUUUGGAUGAACCGUCGAGACACGACACUGAACGGCACCCUUGCACCCGCCAAUACCUCACGGAGCUGCUGGGGGAGAGAGGAGGUGCUGGAGGUGUGUCUGGAGGCUCGAGACGGAGAGAUGACGGGAGGGAUGAUGGGGCGCGGCGGCUGGCUGGCCCCUUACUUCCGCUCCCUGACGCUGCCCAGGCUGAAUCCUGCAGAGCCCAUCAACGUGACCUUCUCCUUCCCAAAAAUCGGCGAGACGCGAAUGAGGCAGAUGGUGUUGGAGGCGGGUGGCCAGAGGUACAGUGGUGGCUUGGUGGUGCAAAACUCGCCCUUCCACUCCUUUACCGUCACGCUCAACACACCCUUACACGUGUAUCUCUUCAAAGGUUUGGCGGGCACGCGAGAGAGAGUCACGCAGGUCGCCAGUCUGGAGGCAAGCAUGGACCAGGACCGCUAUGGCCUCCGCCUGCAACUGUCCACACCUCAGUUGGUGCGGCAGAAAGUGUGGAGUCCAUCGGUCUUCAUCACGACGCCAGCGGGAGGGGAGGAAGAGGCGGUGCGUGUGUACUUCUCAGUGAAAGAUGAGACGGACGGUUUCCAGUCAGAUUUCAUUUUCCAGACGCUGGGGCCGCUGUUGUCCUAUUUGAAGCUGGAGGCCUCAAGCCAGAUCGUGGGAACGGUGGAUGGGACUGACGGCUCGUUAAAGAUACUAGAGAUCAGAUCACUGGAGGUCACGUCGUCAUCCCUCUUCAGUAUGGGGUUGAGUGGACGCGUGCACUUGGCGGGGUCAACACACGGCGAGGGGCACUUCAAGGUGAGAUGGGCAGGUGACGCCAAUCAGUUUGAGUUCAGCGUGGCACUGACUCCAGCGGUCACCUUCCUGGGAAUAUCGCAAUUCGAAGCAGGGGGCACGAGAGGCACCUCCCUCAGAGUAUCCUUCAGUGCUCUCCACAACAGCAUUCAGGCUCCCAUGGGAGGUAGUCUGGCCCUCCUGCUGGACACGAGCACAGUGGAGCUGGACAUCAGCCUCGCCUUGGCUCACCUCGCACGGAUCAAUUUUUCUCAUAAGUACAAGGGACCGCUCAACCUCCGCACUGCAAUGGCCGUACGGUCCGAAUCCAUCGGCAUGGCCUGGUCGGCAGGCCAUGAACUACUGGUGCAGCCCGGCACCCUGCGGCAUGAAUUCAACGUGUCAUGGUCGGAAGAACCAUCAGACACUGUGUCCUCCGUGGUGUACUAUACAGCUGCUUCAGACAACUCCCUCUCUCAUUCCUUCAGGGCUCAGGUGGUGUAUCCAGGCCAGCUGGUUGAGGUGGAGCAGACCCUGGAGGAGGUGCUGCACGGGACGUAUAAGAGUAAGCUGCUAGCAAGGAUGGACCCAGGCCGGACCCUGAAUUCUGAGACCAUCCUCAUAACCAGGAUCAAGGAACAUGCCCUUUCUUACGGCUUCUCCAACACCCUCAGACUAGACACCUGGGCCACGCCGCUCAGCUUGGUGGGCGCCUUCAACUGUGUCCCCACCACGUGCUCGGUAAUGUUCACCGUAGAUCGGUCCGGGGAUCAACUUUUGGACCUGAAAGUGAAGCGCAACUCAGCGGCAGGCGUGUCCCGCACCAACGCCCACAUCAUAAUUAUGCAAUGGCUCAACGGCACCAUAUCGCUGGACGCGGUUCAGAAGAUUGGAUACUACGACUUCAAGUGCCGAAUGGCGUUGUGGGCGUGGCAGAGAGUUAUAAACGGACGUGCUCAGAUAAAUUUGUUGUCUACUGACGCGGUGGUGUCGGAGGCGUUGCUGCUAGAGCUACAAGAAGAUGGAAAACCUGGUCUUCCGACUCACUCGUACAAUGGCACACUGAGACUUGAUCAGGCCGCCAGGACGCUCUUCAUCAGGCAGGAAGUGUGGCCAGUGGUGGGGGGCGCCCAGCAGCCGCCUUGGCAAGUGCUGGUCGAGGGAGGCAUCGGGGACGCUCUGCUCAACAGCUAUCACUUUGCUAAGGGACUACUGAGGACGCCGGUGGGCCAACUGUACUCUGCAAACGGUGAGGCUCACACCGCGCUGGUGGGGCAGGAGUCCGUGGAGGCGACGGUGAUGCUCUCCGCCGCGCAGGACGCCCACGUCCACUACCUCUUGGCCUGGGAGAUGGACUUGCAGACUCACAACACAACUAAUAGUACUACAAACUCCAAGCAAGAGGCCGACACAGGGGAGGAGACAGCGGUGGAGGAGGCCACAAAGAACACGGUGGUGAUGAGUCUGGAGAGCUUCGGAAGGCUUAAAACACCACCCACAGGGGAGCUGGAGCUCAGGGUGGACUGCAAAAGAAAGCUCCUUCCUCCUGCUGACGGCACGGGCCUCGCAAUAAACAGGGUUGAUACGGAUGUCCGUCUGACUCUGGUGGAGCAGCGGUGGGAGGUUGGCGGCACGCAGGGCAGUCUUAGCUGGACGGCGAACAUGUACUCGCUCAACGGGCGCACCUGGCUCACGCAGGGACAACGCUCCAUUGGAUUAGUGUCGUUUGGAGCUGCCAAAAACCAAAGCCUGAAGAGCUCCCACAUCCUGAGCCUGAUGGAUCCAGGGCAGGCUUGGGGACGCCUCGUGCUGGGGCUGGAAACUGAACACCUGGGGUCCUUUCCUCACAGCUUUCAGAGUUCAGCGGGCCUCAAGCUGGGCGUGGGGAACGCUGAGGCGGGUCAGGCGCUGGCCCUCGUGCUCUGGACUCCUGCCGAGGCCGCAGUCAAUCUUGCCCUCACCACUUUCCUUGCUGCACUCCCCGGAGGAAACUUGUAUUUAAAGAUGUGGGGAUCAGGAUUCGAGGGGCACGCGGCCUGGGCAGACGUGAAGGGUGGCGGGGGUGUCAAAUGGGACCGCGGGGGACGAGACCUGGAGGUGGCGUUGAAGUAUGAACACCCCGGGGCGGCCCUGCACGUCCUGGAGACCACUCUAUCCUUCAGCGUGUCCCAGCCCCUUUACCCACCCCUGACCCUGGUGAUGGCUGUGGGGUUCAACCUGAACGGCGCCUAUCAACUCGCUGUCAACGCGGAAUGUCGCUCGGGGCAGGAGAACUACCUGGUGACGGUAGCCAUGCAGCAUCCUGGAGGGAGCAGCGGCCUGCGUCUUCUGGUGCGGAAGGUCGGCAUCACCUACGGCUCCCUUCUGGCUUGUUUCCUCAACGACUUCGCCAUGCAGAUCACCGGAGCUUACACGGCACGGGACGCGGAGCAGGAGAUGCUAGCCACCAUCAAAACCUCGCUGCUGCCGGAGCCUAACGGCUACACCCUCAAGCUGGUGAAGAAGAUGCUCAUGCAGAGUAUCGAGCUGCUGGCCUUCCUCGCUCAGGGCGGCGCGCAACCGGACUGGGUCUACGGCUACAGAGUGGUGGGGCAGAUUAAGAGGGACAUCAAGGGGCGGCUGAGGACGAUGGUGGCCGAGGACACCCUCACCCACCACAUCCUGCAGACGUUGGUGGAGGAGUACAAGUUCUUCCAACUGUUUGUCAACAAUCACUUCGAUGAGAUGGAGCUGGAAAUGAAGUUCUUGGAGUUCUGGCCAACAACGAAGGUAUCUGGCACGCUGCGGAAGGGGAAGGACACCCAGCUGUCCCUCACCGUCACUACGCCCACCCUCAAACACCUGCUGGAGGGACGCAUCUUGUUCAGCAGUGGUGAGUGGCAGUCAGCCCACAGCGGAUCCCUGGCGUACACACAGCGGGACAAAGGGGGACGCGUCGUGCCCCUCAAGGUGGAGCUGGAAGCCAUCAAAUGGAACAGCAACAAACAGAAAUACAACCUGUUAUUCCAAUGUUCGCCUCCUCAGGUGCACGUGGCCAAGGAACUGCCAUUCGCCCCUGACCACAGCCUGGGAGACGUGCAGUAUCCCUUGGAGCAGCCCCCUCGAGCCUCAGCCAUCACUAGUUUCCAGGCCACACUGGAGGUGAUGCGGGACCCCACCUACAACCAGUACAAGGUGACGUGGGAGACAGACGAGACAGUGAGCUACGGCAAGGUGGUGAUGGCCAGGAACCCUCACGGCGGCAAUGGCCUCGUGCAGUACCGGCGCCACGUGAAGGGCAUCCCCAAGUCUGAGAUCGAGUACCUGCUGGAGGGGAACUACCGCCGCGUGGCCAAUGAAGUCAUGUUCUCCUGUACCCUUGACCAGUCUUCCAUCGGCAGGCCGCGUGCCAUCAACUUCCUACACUCUGAGGGCGAGGGCUACACGGAGCUGCUCCUUGACCUGUUCGCGGAGGAAAGUGACCAGGUGAUCCUUGUCAUCAUGAACCUCCCUGAACACUUCAGGUUUAGAAUUGGACAGUACGGGAACACCUUCCUGCUCCUAGGAUAUCAAAGCGACAUAGAUGACGAGGGGGCCAUCGUUUAUAAAGUGCAGGCUCAGAACUCCGGGCGUACAGUGGAGAUGUGGAGUGGGAGCGCAGAGGAGGACGCCAGGAAGUGUAUGAUGGCCGGUGUGAUGCUAGAGACUCCCACGCUGGCGCCCACACACAACAUGCUCAAGUUGUGUCCCACCAAUGGCCCUUAUGUGAUGGUGCAGACGCUGGGUGUAGAGGAACACGAGGGUCCCUAUCUGAAGGUGGGCCAGAUCUCCGGUCCCGGGGGUCUGGGUCUGCAGGUGGGCACCGGAAGACUGCGGCCACUGGACACUCCUCCGGCGCUCACCCUCACGGCCAAUGUUCAGAAGGAGGUGCUAGAGGUGCUCACUGACUGGCAGGUGCCGUCACUCUCGCGCCUGGAGUCAGAGUUCGCUUCUCGCGGGACCUCCGUGGUGGAAGCGCUCUGGGACUUCGGCUACCCCACAGUGAUGGUUGAAGGCGGCCUCUACCUUACCCCGCUCAUCAGCGACACAGAGGACCUGAUCCACCAGACGUUUAACUUUACCCGCUCCACUUCUUUACAAUUGUGGACGAAGUUGGUGGGCGAUGUCUCCAGCAAGGGUGGAGGUCUGUUCCACGAGGUGAGCAGAGCCGUGGUGCGGCACGCUGAAGCUAUGGUGGAUACCUGCGUGGCGGCAGCGCACUCUGCCUUCUCCACACUGAAGGGCUCGGUAGAGAACGUCGCCACGACCACAGUCACCUUGCUGCAGAACGCUACUACAGAUGCAAUAAAUACAUUCAGUGCAGCCGAGGAGCGAGUGGUGGGGGCGGUGAGCGGCGUGACGGCCAGGCUGCAGCACCAUCUGGGGCCGCCCCUCACACGGGUGCACGCCACCCUGGCAGCCCUCACCUACAACGACGACCAGAGCCUGUACGCCCUGGUGUCGAGGGCCAUGGGCGCCGUGCGUAGAAGGAUUGGGCGGCGUGAGGGCGUGCGGGGUUAUGUGACCGACCAACUGCUCACCAGGGCGGAGAAGGUUGUAGUCGAAAACGCCUACUGGGAAGGGCUGCGGGACAAGGGCAGCGCACUCCUCCGGCACCUGCAGAACGUAACAACCAUCAGCAUUGCCAUGCCGCACCAGACAGCGCUCAUGAUCAGGGUGGCGAUGCCCAGCCGCAUGAGGAGGGAUCUGGAGGAGACGAUCCACUGGCUGGUAAAUAAAGAGGGUCCGCGGCUGCUAAUGGAGGCUGAGGGCUGGACGAAGGCUUACUGGGCGCGAACACGGUACCUCCUUACCUGGCCCGUGUACGGGGAGGCUAUGGUGUUCGGGUGGGACCAAGGCAUCACUUGGGACGGCCGCCAAGUGACGCCCCUCCUGACCGACGCUUGCCGUCACCUGCUGGUGCUGCUGACUCACGCCGCCACGCCCACCGCCAUUACGCUGCACAUGGAGGACCUGGACAGCCGCCCUCGGGAGGUGCUCACCUUCUUUAGCGGCAACGACAUCGUCACUCUGGACUCUCUACUCAAGAUGACCUACAACGCUAAGCACAUCCGUCAGCCGCUGUUGGAGAAGGGAGACCUAACUCUGCGGUGGUCGCGGAAUGCUGCCUCCAUCACCUCCACCGUGGGCCUGAGCCUUGAGUGCCAGCUGGACCAGCCGCUGUGCCGCCUGGUAGUCAGCGAUCAGCACUUCGCGGGUACGGUCGGUCUUCUCGGCGUCUUUGAUUACGACAACAGCUCAGACUACAUGACGAGCCGCUGGGAAAUGCCCGCGACGGAGGAGGAGUGGGUGCAGAGCUGGCGGGUAGGCACGCCAGGACAGUGUGCCUCGCAGCUGCCGGAGUCCCACAUGUCGCCGCCACACGGACACCACUGCACUGACCUCUUCCAAAGCUCCAAUUCCCCCUACAGGUACGCAGGUGGUGUUUCCGCAGCGUACCUCCCUCGCCCUACCUUCAGACGUGCCAGGCGGGGUGGGAAUGCGCCUCCCAGCAAGCCUUCCUCCAGGCCUGCAGCCGCCACUACCACGAACUCACACCCAACCUCACGUGCAGUUCGUGUUUGCUGGAGGAGACGCGGGAGGAAGGCACGGAAGGGCUGAGGAAGGAGGUAGUCAUCAUUACGGACUUUGAGUGCUGGAGUGACCCGCAGGACCUCGUCACGGCUCUCUCCAGGGACACAAAGAGGUCCAAGGUGAUGAUCCGUUACAUUGGCCGAGGACCGCCGUCAGAGGGACCCUUCCAGAACGUGGCCGAGACAGUGGUGGACAACGGGGCACUACCUAUUGAAACAAUCCUCAACUCGGCCCUCCUUGACUUCUCCGAGCGGGCGCUGAAGACCAUCAUUUUCUUCGACUGCCAACAUCCUCGCUGCGAAGUCUCGAGCGCGGCGCCCCAGACUGUCAAGGCGAGGGAGACGCUGCUGUCCCUCGGUAUCCAGCUGCACGUCAUCACCAUGGAUGCCCUCACCAUCAUGGACCAACAGUCGCUUUCCCGAAGGGCGGCGCGGCAACUCAUCGGGUUGGACGGCCACACCGCCUACCUCCUGUCCCACGCCCGCAAGAAGAAGGUGAAGGGAAAACGCAACAUCCGGCGCCACCUGGAGGUCCCCAUCGGCAACACCUGCACACACCUGGCCGUGGAGACGGACGGUUCUGUGUUUUCACUUCGGAACAUCAAAAUGGAGAGGAAGCACCACCGGCGGAUCCUGCAGCAGCUGGUGGCGCUCAGGGUGGAGGCGGGGCGCGCGGCGGAUUACCUUGGGUGCCGUGUGUGCAAGUGUGGCGCCCCCUGCACUCUCUGCCAUCCCCCGCCGCCUCUCGUCUAUCUGAACUCCGAGAGAGGUGACGACAAUGACGACGACGACGACUAUGAUGAGGAGGACAACCUGAGCGUGAGGAGUCGAGGCAGAAAGCGCCACAAGUCGAGCCGGAGGCAGUGAGACUGCCGAUCCUCCUCACACCGGAGGUUACAAUACUUCAUUUUCAUUUCAACUGUGUUCUUUGAUAUACUCGUAAAUGUAUGUGUGUCUCUCGCCACAACAAUCUAUUAUAAGCAUUAGUUUAGAGAUACCUGUAAUAAUUAAUGUUGUAAUAUCUCUGCCACCCCAUUUUUUUUCAUAGCAAUAAAAUAUGUCAAGUAUCUGGUAGCGUAGUUGAUAUCGAACAUAGGCCAGCAUUCACAAACGCUUUGCGCUCUCACCAGGACUAUUUUCAAAGGUUGCAAAGAUGAUUCUCAAGAGUGUUUCUCCUGUUAGUAAUGCAGAAUUAUCGUUAGUCUGUCACUAGAACCAUAAAAAAAAACAGCCUUAAAAUCCUGUGUAACUUCAACCGGAGCAUUUUGAAUGCAGCGCAAAAGGGUUUCAGAAUACGGUCCAUAGUCAAGACACGUGUCCCGAGCUGGGCCACAAGACGCCUAGCUCUGGAGGGCGCAAGGGAGCAGCUCAGCAUAGUGUCCUGCAGGGCACGCAACUUUAACAAGUAUUUCAUGAUAGGAUUAACGUGUGUUUAGUGUAGUUGUGGGCAAUAAACAAUUUGCUUGUAC